ACAGGCAACAGGAUAGAAAAGAAUCAUAGUCUAAGAGAAAGACUCCUUAGACCAGAAAGCUGCAUUUUUACAGAAUGAGCAUUAAAGACAGCUUAAUACAAGUGACAACAGAAAACAGUAACUUUCAUCAAAUUGCUUUUGCAUCUGGCGCCUGUCUUCUACGUUGCCAAAUAUAUGCACUCCUGCAUGAUGGAGCGUGGGAGGGCUGUGAUUAGUCUCAGGAAGAGAGGGGCAGAUGUCGGACAUUCUGCAGCAUUCAACACAAGUGAACAGCAUUUAGAAAAACAAGACACUUAUGUUGCCCCAGGAGAGCUCAUCUUUCAAGAAAAUAUGAACCACUGAAUUUUGUAGGGGUGCACGGAUCCAAGCUGCUAGACACUGGAGCAAGUUUCAUACAAGCGUGUCUGAGCUUCAGCAUUGUAUAGCAGAAGUUUUCUUCAGAAGGAGCCCAAGAAGAGUAUAUCCUCAACCUACACCUUUUUUUAGUUUGAAUUUCCUACACUAUCUUUGAGAUGCCUCUCAGCCAGAUGACUUCUCACUUCCACUAACCCUUUUUAUAGUUAAGUGACUGUAUGAGGUUUCACAGUACUACUCUAGAGGCUUACAAGUCAGUCUCAUGAGUUCGCCUACAGCUCCAGUUCCUCUUGUAGCAAUCGUUUACUUCCAGAUUGGAAGAUCCAUACAAAAUGGAAAGUAUGUAUAGUAUGGAAAGUGGCUUGAGGAUGUGUUCAAUGACCAGCCUUCAAUAUAACUAAUCUUAUAAAAGGAAAUCUCAUCAGCAAGAUGUAUAAAAUGCUGGUGGGGAUUAACUACAAUAUCGAACCUAAGAAGAACUCAUAACUGUUGGAAGUAAUAACAACAGGGCUAUCGUUUGCAUAUUCUUUGCCAUACAACACACCAGUUGACAAACCCCCCUAAUAAAAGGCUCAGACCAAUUGGAGGAGAGGCAGUAACAAUCCAUACUGAUCUGACUGAAAUUUUUGUAAAUAGAUUAAGCAAUACAGGCUGAAGGACACCAGAGAAAUGACUGAAAUAUUGCUAAAUGCCCCCUGAAAGUCAUUUAGCUUAGGCUCUGGUUGCAAACAAACUGGAUUAUGGAAGUGCUGUCAUCAAGAAAGAUUAUAUUAUGUUCAAACAGAUUCAUCAGGUGCAAUCAAGUCAAUCUCUAUUCAGGGAGAAACAAAGCACUCUGUUAAAAAUAAGUCCAUAUCAUAACAUUGUCCAGGGAAUAUUAUGGUUGAUAGUGAAUGUGAGCUGAAAAAAAUUCUCAGUCAUCUCUCUUAUUCACAGUAAAAAAAGAACAAACACUUUCUAAACAGUUGAGAUUCAUUGUUAGAUAGCAAGCCAUGAAAAUUGUAUGUCAGUAAGCAUUUUUUUCCCCCACGCAGAGUUUAGUUAAGAAAUGUAACAUACAGGGUAGUGUCUUUCUGCCAUAUAUUCAGUGCUUCUUGCUUAAGACAGGGAUCAACCUUCGCAUACGAUCCUGCAAAUAACACACAGCUGGAAAUCCAGAAAUGAAUGUAUGUCAUGCAACACCUACUGAUUAUCAAAAGGCUUGACUGUGGACUUCCAAGGAGCCACACUGAGACCUUGCAAGAUCUGACAGCUCUUCUUUCUAUGUUUCUAACACCUCAUUUGAACAUUUAAGCAAGUUUUAGCAACUGGGAUCAUCUGUCCAGCCUAUCCACUCAUCCCAUGUGCCUGUAAUCUGUCAUAAAUUCAGGUUUCAUUAUUGGCAGAAUUUAUGAGCUGGGAUUAUGUUGUCUUUGUAGAAGAGACUAGUAUGAUAACAAAGGAAUGGUUUUCUGAGACAAUAAAACUCUAAAAGUCACUCUAGAGACGUUUUGGAAAAUAAGAUCAAAGUUCUUUGAAAAUAAUCCCAUAAAACUACUGCAACUAAUACUACUUUAAGUAUCUGGUUUGCAAAGACAUUUGAGCAGUACACUGACAAACAUUGCAGUCCAUUUUCAAAUUGAUUUAGACACCAAAGGCAAAAGCUACAAACAAAAGUGGUAACUUGUGGUCCUCAGCAAGGGGAAGAGGGAUGAGGUCCUCAGAAAAGUGACCUGAAACCAAAUCUUUCCUACAACAGGAAGGCACUCCAACUUCCUUACUAUUCACAGGAUACAGGUGUUUAUCUGCUCUGCUUUCGGCCUCCUGGAUCUCAAGUUGUUUUUUUUUUUUUUUUUUUUUUUUUUUUUUUUUUUUUUUUUAAGAUGAAAUCUGGUAAGAGUGGUCUGAGAAAGAAAAAACAGUUUGAACCAUCCAGGUCUUUUUUUGAAUCCUGAUGUAGUCUAAACGUGAGUUAGCUACAUUGUCCCACAAUUACCAAAGGUUUAGGAUGCUUUCCUCUUGUAGAGAAACAGAUAUAAAACUGUGUGGAUUUGGAGAUGCUGACUAGGCACAUUUGUUCUCCUGUAGGUCUCAUUCUUAGUUUCAUUGAAUACAAGUGGGGCUUACUCUUCUUCAUGACCAAGCCAUGACUAAAAGUGAUUCUUGGCCAUCCAAAAAACUUUGACCUUGUAAUACUAGGAUAACUCAGAGCAUCUUCAUACUUGCUCAGAUGAAUCAUUUCUUCUAAUUGCUGAAAAGGAGUUUUGGGGAGAGGAACAAGGCUAGAAAAUGUUACGCAGUUUCAUUCUCCCAUACUGCAGCAGCUGACAUAGACUUUAUCAUGUUUCCUUUCCCCACAUAUUCCCUCUCCCCUCACAGCUUCAAGUGAAGCAGAAAAAAUUCCUCUGCCUACCUCCAUUUCUCCCUCCUUCUCCUGCACCACACAGUGUUACUGCUAAUCAGCAACAUUUUCUUUGGCUGACAGCUCAACCCCAUGUUGUCUCCUGAUCAAUGCUGAUACAGCACAUCCCAGCACACAGGAAAGGACAAAAGAAGGCAUAGAGGUCUGGGAGGGUAGUAAGAGUAACUGUGGGUUAUAUAUUGAGUUGUGCUAUGUGCACAUCUAUGUGGACACUUGGUAUGCCCAUGCCUUCAGCACUGACGGUCAAAGAGCAUCCUGAAUGAGUGCCAUCCUGUUACUCUGGAUGAGUGGUUCAUGCUGUUCCAGUCCCAAGCAGAAGGAAUAAAACCUCAAGGUGGCUAUGCAAAGUGGUAUAGGGAUCAAAAAUGCAGACAGUGUGGGAAAUAAUUAUAUCCAGUUUGUUAUGUAGUCACCAUCACCUUUCAGGUAGGUCUUUCCAGGGUGUUCUCCCAGUGUAGCUGAAGAAAAAGGACACUAUUCUCUUUUCCAUUACCCCCCAACCAAGGUGCGUGACUACUGACCAAAAGUGAAAUCAGGAAUGCUGUGGGCAACAGGCAUUUUAGUUUCACACCUUAAACAUGAGACAGGGAAUGAGCAGAAUAAAUGUAAGUUCUUCCUUCAUGUCAGACCUCACAGAGGAAGCAGCUGUAGGAACAGUGAUACUCUCCCAGCAUGUGAGUGGGAAAGGCAGAAAAGGUUGGGAUUAAAGCCCCAGUUCUUGCACCUUGUAUAGAGAAGCCUCUUCUAGCUCAUGUAAAGUAAUCCUGUGGUGACAAAGGCAGCCUGUGGUUGUUGAAAUCUGAGGCUCAGUAAUACAGACAGAGCAGCAGCUCUUGGAACUACUGAUGCUGAAACUCCAGCCUCCACAGAAUCACAUAAUGGCCCAGAUUGGAAGGGACCUCAAGGAUCAUGAGCCACCCCUGCCACAGGCAGGGCCAACCAACCUCCACAUUUGAUACUAGACCAAGCUGCCCAAGGCCCUAUCCAACCUGGCCUUGAACACCUCUGGGGAUGGGGAAUCCAUAACCUCUCUGGGCAGCCUGUUCCAGCACCUCACCACUCUCAUAUUAAAGAGCUUCCCCCUGACAUCCAAACUAAUUCUUCCCUCUUUCAACUUAAAACCAUUUCCCCUUGUCCUGCUGUUAUCUACCCUUUCAAAGAGUUGACUCCACUCCUGUUUAUAGGUUCCCUUUAGGUACUGAAAGGCUGCAAUGAGGUCACCCCCACAUCCUUCUUUUCUUCAGGCUGAACAAGCCCAGCUCCCUCAGCCUGUCUUCACCAGGGAGGUGCUCCAGCCCUCUGGUCAUCUUUCUGGCCCUUCUCUGGACCCUCCUCAACAGCUCUUUGUCUUUCUUGUAUUGGGGGCUACAGACCUGGAUGCAGUACUCAAGAUGGGGCCUCAUGAGGGCAGAGUAGAGAGGGACAAUCACCUCCCUGUCCUUGCUGGCCACCCCUCUUCUGGUGGAGCCCAGGAUACCAUUUGCUUUCUGAGCUGCAAGAGCACACUGCUGGCUCAUGUUCAGUUUUUCAUCCACCAGGACCCCCGGGUCCUUCUCUUCAGGGCUAGUCUCAAGGAAUGUUCCUUCCAGCCUGUAUAUAUGCUUGGGAUUCCUCUGACCCAAGUGAAAAACCUUGCACUUUGCUGUGUUGAACCUCAUUAAAUUCACCCGGGGCCCACCUUUUAAGUCCACUGAGGUACCUUUGAAUGACAUCCCUUCCUUCCACCGUGUCAACCACACCACUCCUCUUGGUGUCAUCAGUAAACUUGCUGAGGGUGCAGUCAAUUCCAUCAUUGGUGUCACUGAUAAAGAUGUUAAAGAACACAACCUCCUGCAGUUGCUGGCAAAGUUCGUCAUAUUCUAUGCUGGAUUUGGACAUAGAUCCUGAUAAUCUUGAAUGUUUUGAAAACUCCAUAAGGAAGUAGCUCUGAUUUCAUAGCACCAGAAUUAAUUUUUUCUAACAUCACCUUUAAAAAUAUAUAUCAACAGCAAACAGCAACAAAGCUGGUUGACAGCGCAUAUGCCAUAGAUACAGAUGGAAAAAACAUAACAUUGUAGAGUGAAGAGAGUACACUUAAAGAAAAGUAGCAAUGGUUAUGAGUGCAUUUAAUAUUUGUGCAUUCACUGAAAUAGGGUUUAGUUCUGAUAAAUCUGAAGUUUAUCUUUAGGUUUGGAUGCUGAAUCAAUGCCAUCUAGUGGUGGUAGAUGUGUUCUGGUCUUAAAGUUCACAGCCAUUUUAACAUCACUGAAGUUCCACCUAAUUAACACUUUCUUGGUGUCUUUCAUACCCUUUUAAAACUAGUCUAAAUGUUCGAUCCAGAUUAAACAACUAAGAGCCACUGAUAUAUAUAAUGAUCGAUUAUUCAUUAAUUUACUAAUUCAAAAAUGUUCAAGUUUCUAUUAAUUCAAAUAACUGUAUCACAGAUGAAGGCUUUGUUCUGUUAAAGGCAGCAUUAAAUGACAACUUAUUUAAUCCUUCUAAUUUUUAAACGAACGUCUUUGCUUCACCAUAGAUUAAAGAGACAGAACCACUACACUAAAAAAGCCAUGUGAGUUUACCUAAAUAAAGGUAUUUCCUCACUGUGAGUUGCUUUUUAUUAGCUUUUAACUAGCUCCUAGUUUGCAGGUGUUUGUCAUCACACCUGGCCCCUCAGCAAUAAAUUCUUCUGAGACAACAAGAUCUGAGAAGAACGAGAGUUAACAUGUAGGAUUCAUUUCAAAGCUACACAGCAAGGCAAGGAAGUUCUGAGCCCUCUGUAGUCAUUUAUAUAAAAAAUAAGCUAUUUUGGUGGUCUGUUGUUUGCUUACAGAGUAUGGGCAGAAGUGAAAUGUCAGAAAUAAAUGUAAACUUAUCUCAUUACCCCUACAGGUUGGUAGUGGUGGUGGGCGUAAAUCAGGAGAUAAACACAGUUGUGAGCAUUAUACUUAUGGACCAUGCAACUAUUACAGCAGGAGUGCUGAAAGGGCAUCCUCUGGCCUAACUGAUCAUUUCCUUAAUAUAUUCCUUAUUCGAGGACUUUUAGUAGACUAUGCACAUUCAUAAACGUUUGGUAUUCUGUUGAGUGCUCUGUAUCAAAAUGCAUAUCUCAGAUAUGCUAUUUCUCUGAUUUAUUCCUGCUAUAAAUGCCGAUUUACAGCUUACCUGUAGGUGACAGAAGGACAGAUGAGUUGGAAGUUGCACUGAAAUGUGAAAUAGUUCUUUGCUGAGUAAGAAAACUUGGUAAAAAUUUGCAUAUCUUCUCAUUUGUGCCCAAAGGAAUUUCAACACAACUAAAGUUGAAAAAGCAUAAGAUUCUGUGGGCAGGAGCCCCAGAAAAAUUGCAGUGAGAGGAUCCUUUGCUUUGUGUUUAUGUCUUCUUCUGUUACAUUGUCCUCUUUGUAUGUUUAUUCCUAUUCUUUUUCUCUUAUAUGUUUCAUGAGCUUCUUCAAAUAUGUCCUUUUAAAAAAAGUGAAAAUUCAGUCUUGUCUUGUAAUUAGUGCUGCUAUAGGAGAUUAGGCUUUGAGAAGUUAGCUGCUGCUAGGAGGCACUGCCAGCUUUUUUCCCUUUAUGAGAAGUCCUUUGGGACUUUAUGGAAAAAAAAAAAAAAAAAAGCCAGACAGUGCAACUACAGGUUCUUAUAUCAGCUCUAACAUGUUUUUUACAAGUGGACAAAAAUCAAUGAAUACAAAAUCUUCUAAGACAUUUGCAAAAGCAAAGAAUAUUUAUCUAAACAGUACAUGAAAAACAAAGAAAGAGCAUCUGCAGUUGUAUUUAUAUAAUAUCACAUUAUGUUAUAUAUAUAUAUAUUAUAAUGCAACGUGCAACCUGUAACAGACAGGAAUCACAUACAAUUCUUGUUUCCUUUCCAAACGAUUGUUGUUUAUUCUGUUCCUUACAGUUCUUGAAAGAAUUAAGAACUGCUGUGAUCUAUCAUUGCAAACAGAAAAACAUCAAAAAGAGAGGAAGGAAAACACUGUCAGUGGCACACACGUUACACCAUCUGCAAUAUAUUCUCUGCAUAUCUCCUCAUCUGUGCCCAAAGGAAUUUCAAAACAUAGAAGCUUGUAUUACCAUCAAACAUUCUGUUUUACCUGGGUAAAAACUCUUGGAUUUCCCUGCUGAACUGGGUGCCUGGGAAUUACUACAGAGGAGGUUUCGAGCUUCAGUACUGAGUCCCUUGGGAUGUGGUUGUAUGACCAUGGUACAAACAUAGUAGCUAGUGGCUACAGGAAUGGACUGUGGUUCUUGGUGAUCCUUUCACAUAUAAUCCUUCUAGCAUUCACUUAAUUAAUGUACAAAUAGAGCCUCUGUUUUUGAAAACUUGAAAGCCUACAGAUUGACAUUUUUUUUUUUCCAUAUCUCUAAAUCUGCAAAGGAUUUAUGUUUGAUGUUUAGGCUGAGUUGGUGUCAAACUACUCAGGUGUCUGGUUUAAUCCCCGGGAGCACACUUGGUGAAAGGCUUUCAGGUAAGCUACCAUGGCUAGCCAGAAGGCUUGUUCAUCUUCUGCCAUCCUCUCUGCCUUGCAGGGACCUCUGGUGCCCAGUGUUGCUCAGAAAUGAUGGGCCCUGAUGUUGACUGCAGCACAGGCCUUUGGCUCUCAAAUCUUUGUCAUGACCUAAAUAACACAGAGGAGGCCUAAUGGUCAGAAGAAUCAUUCAUUAAUGAAAAUUUGCAUCUCAGAAGCUGCCAAUGCUUUCACCAUCACAUCUGCUCUGCUACUAAGCCACCAAAUUUGAAACUGCCUUGUCCAUGCCCCUCUUCCACCACAGUAAAUCCCAACAUGAGAUUGAAGUGGCAGAGUCUGUCUAUCCAGCUGUUCCAUUUGGAGAGAUGUAGCCAUGAAGACAAGCUUGGUGGGGUCUGGGAAGCAGCUAUGACAUUAUUGGUCAUGUAACGGCCUGGGCUGUGCAGAGCUACUCUGCGCAUGUCCAUUCUUACAGGCACGGUCUGCAUAAGAGCUAUGUAGCCCAAAACUGGAAGAAGCAAUUAGUUUUGUCCUUGCUAAGUUCUCAUCUGACAACAGAUAGAUGAAAGUUUCCAGGUGGUUAAAAAUAUUCCUCUCUCUUUUCCCAAAGCAUUGCACUGGCACUGGUCAUAACUUAAGCAGAGAAGCAAGCGAUGCAUCAAGAUCCAUCCUGGCAGUUGGGGACAGAUAUUAUGAUCUAAUUGGUUAAAUAACGCUGGCCUCUUUUGAAUGUGUUUGAAGAUACUUUUAAUUAUAUAAUCCAAAGAAACAUCCUUCAUGCUUUAUUAAGAAGCAUGAAAUAGUCGUUGCUAUUAUGAGUUGUUUUUACUGAUGAAAGAAAAUGAAUGUGAAAUAAAAGGAUAAUGAAACGACACUUACCAUUUUUCUUCCUGUGAUGGAAUAUGUUAUUAGAUUUGUACUUCCACACAGCUUCAGAGAACUCCUGGUAUGUAGCUGCACUACUGAGAACUCAUGGCAAUUCCUCAGAGAAUUAUGUAAUACAGGCUGCAGAUGCACCCUAGUUAUACAGAGGGUACCCAGAGGUGUUUUCUUUUUCCUAUUCUAAUUUCCUUGUGUUUAAUAUUUGUUGCUUAAUGAAUGCUCCCAUGAAAAUGCAAAAAUCCUGUACUUUUAGGUGAUUAAACAUCUUUGGGAGUGUGAACUUUAAAUAAUUUUGGUCAAAUUCACAUUUGCUGCAUCAGAAUCAGUUGUGAUGACUGUGCUGAGACACCAUCGUUCUAUUUACUAAUCUUCUUUUACUCUCAGAACAAACCUCAAUCAAUCAUGCACUGCUUUCAGUCGCCACUCCAGCACUUCCCAUUUCUCACUAGGUGUUUUGUAAGACAUGGCUGUUUUCCUCCAAGAUACUAUACAACUCCAAGCAACCAGUAGCCUCUCAAGUACUAUCAACACAAAAUCUUUGAAAUUACACAUUCAUACGCCAGCCUAAUGAACAGUGUUUGCAAAUGAAGGAUAAAUAUUGUAGUUGUGCAGGCAUUCCAUUCUUCUCUCCCAAGUAUUAGUAUUCAUACGGAAGACAACUUACCAAGAGGCAUGUGACCAAAUGUGCAAGAAAAGACAGCAGAGAAGUGCAUUUACAAAAUAUACAACAUUUCAGUGAAAGACUCCCUCAGCAGUGGAAUCUUUUUUCUUUUAAAAUACUAUUAGCAUUAUUACAUUGAGCACCUCUACGACUGCAAUUCAGAAGGUCGCUAGAGGUGUUCAGGCAUCUCUAGAAAAGAAGCAUUGAAGAGAUGUAACCUGUUUUUGACACUACCAGAUGUAAGUAAAAUUUCCUUUACUGAUAGAGAAAUGAUUUUUCUUUUAGCAGAAUUGCAGCAGAUAUCACAUUUCUGAUUAUACCACACAAAGAAACUGCAGUACACGCUCCUCAGAAUAGCUGUGCAUGAAUGUCCAUAUGUAUAGAACACCAGCAUCAAUCAAUACCCCCAGGUCUAUUUCCUCUACACAGUCUUUCAGCAACUCUGCCCCAGUCCUGUAGCGUUGCCUGCGGUUGUUGUGGCCAAAGUGCAGGACCCGGCAUUUGGUCUUGUUGAACCUCAUCCCAUUGGCUUCAGCCCAGAUAUCCAGCCUGUCCAGAUCCUUCUUUGUCCCAGUGUAAAACUUAAAGUGCAGUAACUCCAGGAUUAUGCAUUUAAAGUAAGGUCUCAAAUAGAGGUUUCAGAGCUCUCCCAGUGUUCUUAUCUCACAUCAGAUGGCAUCCCUUGAUGCCAUGUGUGUUGAAGGAGUUCAAAUAAAGAGCAGGUUAAUAUCAGAUCUGCAUUUGGUUCCUUCUUAGAUCCUUUCUCUAUGAAUAAAGCUGCAAAAAUAUUUUUGUGCCCGUAAUAAGGUAAAAUCUGAUUCCUGUUUCUUGUCAAUACUGUAUUAUAUGAACUGAGAGGGAUGUGGAUAUAUUUUAUUUUAUUUUGUCUUAUUUUAUUUUUAUACUGUUGAGCAAGGCUUUUUUGAUUAAUGAAUUCAGAAAAUAAAUUGCAACUACAUUAAAAGGACAGAUACACUUGGUUACUAGUUUGUAGGAAGGCUACCUGGACAGUGAAGCUGAGCAAUAAUUCUUAUAACACGCUGCCAGUAAAUACAGGUGGUAAUUUAGCUGUGAUUUAAUUCUUUUUGUAAUAAGCAGUCACACAACUGACAGAAAUAUGCAUACACAUGGAUUUCCUAAACCAUUCAUCAAGAUGGCAAUGUGUAAUAUAGAUUUCACUGAAUAUAAAUUAAAAAAAAAAGUACAAAAGCACUCUUUUAUGCCGUAACCAAUAAAUUUGUAAACAUGUUCCAAAAUAACCCCUACAAAUAGAAUUUAAAUGGCACCAUAUUCACAGUGAAAGAACAUAAAUAAGAUCCCACGGUCAGUGCCCUGAUUGAUGAGAUCACUGCAGCAAAUCAGAAAAGAAUUGAAGAAAAAUGAAAAUUUUGCCUGACAAGAAUAGAGAUUUUUACAUCAGCCUUUUCUACACUGAACAGAAUCAAAACCAGUAGGAAAAGCAGAGGAAGUAGCCAAAACAGUGGAAGUAUUGAGUAAGAUGCUUUCAGCAAUCACAGAAAAAAUACUUACUGUCUCCCACCAGGGUUUACUUAGAUGUUCACAUAUUAAGCUCUCAAUUAAAAUAAUAAGAUCAAAGCAGGCAAAAUAUACUGCUGGAAAUAUUAAAAGUUGUUACAUGAAUUCUCUGUGAUUUCUCAAAGCACUGGCCACCCAGCUCUUCAGUGUGUCUUCAGAGGUGGUCAGCUGCUGAUGCUUCAGGGGAUGGCUAAAAAACAAAACAGAAGCAGAACAGAAGCAAUGCUGUGGGAAAAAACACAUUCGCUUUAAUUUUGUCAAGACACUGAAUGAAACUCCUGAACCUGAGGAUUACUUAUAAUUCUUGUUUUAACAGAGAUCUAUGAGUGUUAGAAGCAUGUUAUGACUGCUAGAGGAAACAGAUGAGCACGGGAACUCAGAAUAUCAUGUUUCAAACCUGAAUGGACUGAUUAUUAUUUUUCUGGUCUCC